CAUGUGGUUUAAUUCGAUGCAAAGCGAAGAACCUUACCAAGGCUUGACAUACUGGCUCAAGCUAAUGUGAAGGCAUUUUGUGUUGUAAGGCUUGCCUUACAUAGUCAGUACAGGUGCUGCAUGGCUGUCGUCAGCCCGUGCCGUGAGGUGUCCGGUUAAGUCCGGUAACGAGCGCAACCCCUAUGUUUAGUUGCCAGCACGUAAGGUGGGAACUCUAAAGAGACUGCCGGCGACAAGCCGGAGGAAGGCGGGGACGACGUCAAGUCAUCAUGGCCCUUAUGCCUUGGGCUACACACAUGCUACAAUGGCGGAUACAAUGGGUUGCCAAACCGUGAGGUGGAGCCAAUCCCAUCAAAGUCCGUCUCAGUUCGGAUUGCAGGCUGCAACUCGCCUGCAUGAAGUUGGAAUCGCUAGUAAUCGUGGAUCAGCACUGCCACGGUGAAUACGUUCCCGGGCCUUGCACACACCGCCCGUCACACCACGAAAGUCGGUUCUGCCCGAAGUGGUUGAGCUAACCCGCAAGG
rnacentral:rRNA from 1 species